rnacentral:rRNA from 1 species
AUUGAACGCUGGCGGCAGGCCUAACACAUGCAAGUCGAACGAGUGGCGGACGGGUGAGUCAUGUCUGGAAACCUGCCUGAUGGCGGGGGAUAACUCCUGGAACCGGUAGCUAAUACCGCAUACCAUCCACUUUUCCCAGAUGGGAUUAGCUUUUUGGUGGGGGAACGGCUCACCAAGGCCACGAUCCCCAGCUGGUCUGAGAGGAUGACCGGCCACACUGGAACUGAGACACGGUCCAGAAUCCUACGGGAGGCAGCAGUGGGGAAUAUUGCGCAAUGGGCGCAAGCCUGAGGCAGCCAUGCCGCGUGUAUGAAGAAGGCCUUCGGGUUGUAAAGUACUGUCAGUGGGGAGGCGUUACCCGAAGAAGAAGCACCGGCUAACUACGUGCCAGCAGCCGCGGUAAUUC